GGCGGACGGGUGAGUAACGCGUAGGAAUCUACCUAAUGGUGGGGGAUAGCCCAGGGAAACUUGGAUUAAUACCGCAUAAGUCCUAAGGGAGAAAGCGGGGGAUCUUCGGACCUCGUGCCAUUAGAUGAGCCUGCGUAAGAUUAGCUAGUUGGUGAGGUAAGAGCUCACCAAGGCGACGAUCUUUAGCUGGUCUGAGAGGAUGAUCAGCCACACUGGGACUGAGACACGGCCCAGACUCCUACGGGAGGCAGCAGUGGGGAAUAUUGGACAAUGGGGGCAACCCUGAUCCAGCCAUGCCGCGUGUGUGAAGAAGGCCUUCGGGUUGUAAAGCACUUUCAGAUGUGAGGAAAGGUUGCAGAUUAAUACUCUGUAGCUGUGACGUUAACAUCAGAAGAAGGACCGGCUAACUCCGUGCCAGCAGCCGCGGUAAUACGGAGGGUCCGAGCGUUAAUCGGAAUUACUGGGCGUAAAGCGCGC
rnacentral:rRNA from 1 species